GAUGAAGAACGUAGCGAAAUGCGAUAAUUAAUGUGAAUUGCAGAAUUCAGUGAAUCAUCGAGUCUUUGAACGCACAUUGCGCCCCCUGGUAUUCCGGGGGGCAUGCCUGUCCGAGCGUCAUUGCUGCCCUCAAGCCCGGCUUGUGUGUUGGGCCCUGCUCCCCCGGGGGCAGGCCCGAAAGGCAGUGGCGGCACCGCGUCCGAUCCUCGAGCGUAUGGGGCUUUGUCACCCGCUCUGUAGGCCCGGCCGGCGCUUGCCGACCCCCUUCAAUCUUUUUUCAGGUUGACCUCGGAUCAGGUAGGGAUACCCGCUGAACUUAAGCAUAUCAAUAAGCGGAGGA
rnacentral:misc_RNA from 1 species